rnacentral:rRNA from 1 species
UACGAAGGGGGCUAGCGUUGUUCGGAAUUACUGGGCGUAAAGCGCGCGCAGGCGGUCCUUCAAGUCAGAGGUGAAAGCCCAGAGCUCAACUCUGGAACGGCCUUUGAGACUAGAGGACUUGGGUACGGGAGAGGUGAGUGGAAUUCCGAGUGUAGAGGUGAAAUUCGUAGAUAUUCGGAAGAACACCAGUGGCGAAGGCGACACACUGGCCCGUUACUGACGCUGAGGCGCGAAAGCGUGGGGAG